AGGGAUCUUGUACAAAUCUCAUGGUUAUUGCAGCGAAAGGCACAUUGGUGGUCUUUCUGCUAAGCAGCUCCCUUUGCUGAAAGGACUUUUUCCAAAGCAAGUGGUCUGGAUAGCAAGAUUACUGUGUGACUUUUCCGUGUACUGCAUACCAUAUUCUCUGGCAAACACAUUAUCAGAAAGAGUUUCCAGCCCUGGGAUUAAUUCAUGGUGUAGAGUAGAGCUUCCUUGGUCUUGCAGGGGUCCUGUAGGAGAUGAAGAGAAAGGAAGGCUGAGACAAAACCUACAUCAUCCGGCCACAUCUGCAUUGGACCCAAGGCUGGGUGAACCACAUCUGUAUGGCUUCAGGCUGAAAACUGAAGACACUUAAAAGGUCUUAACCAAGUGAG
rnacentral:lncRNA from 1 species